AGCUUCCGUUGAAUGACGUGCUUGCACUGAUUUUAACAAUGAAGCGAGUGGCGAACUGGUGAGUAACACGUGGGAAAUCUGCCCAGAAGCAGGGGAUAACACUUGGAAACAGGUGCUAAUACCGUAUAACAACAAAGUCCGCAUGGAUUUUGUUUGAAAGGUGGCUUCGGCUAUCACUUCUGGAUGAUCCCGCGGCGUAUUAGUUAGUUGGUGAGGUAAAGGCCCACCAAGACGAUGAUACGUAGCCGACCUGAGAGGGUAAUCGGCCACAUUGGGACUGAGACACGGCCCAAACUCCUACGGGAGGCAGCAGUAGGGAAUCUUCCACAAUGGACGAAAGUCUGAUGGAGCAAUGCCGCGUGAGUGAAGAAGGGUUUCGGCUCGUAAAACUCUGUUGUUAAAGAAGAACACCUUUGAGAGUAACUGUUCAAGGGUUGACGGUAUUUAACCAGAAAGCCACGGCUAACUACGUGCCAGCAGCCGCGGUAAUACGUAGGUGGCAAGCGUUGUCCGGAUUUAUUGGGCGUAAAGCGAGCGCAGGCGGUUUUUUAAGUCUGAUGUGAAAGCCUUCGGCUUAACCGGAGAAGUGCAUCGGAAACUGGGAGACUUGAGUGCAGAAGAGGACAGUGGAACUCCAUGUGUAGCGGUGGAAUGCGUAGAUAUAUGGAAGAACACCAGUGGCGAAGGCGGCUGUCUAGUCUGUAACUGACGCUGAGGCUCGAAAGCAUGGGUAGCGAACAGGAUUAGAUACCCUGGUAGCCAUGCCGUAAACGAUGAGUGCUA
rnacentral:rRNA from 2 species